AGAGUUUGAUCCUGGCUCAGGACGAACGCUGGCGGCGUGCCUAAUACAUGCAAGUAGAACGCUGAAGAGAGGAGCUUGCUCUUCUUGGAUGAGUUGCGAACGGGUGAGUAACGCGUAGGUAACCUGCCUUGUAGCGGGGGAUAACUAUUGGAAACGAUAGCUAAUACCGCAUAACAAUGGAUGACACAUGUCAUUUAUUUGAAAGGGGCAAUUGUUCCACUACAAGAUGGACCUGCGUUGUAUUAGCUAGUAGGUGAGGUAAUGGCUCACCUAGGCGACGAUACAUAGCCGACCUGAGAGGGUGAUCGGCCACACUGGGACUGAGACACGGCCCAGACUCCUACGGGAGGCAGCAGUAGGGAAUCUUCGGCAAUGGGGGCAACCCUGACCGAGCAACGCCGCGUGAGUGAAGAAGGUUUUCGGAUCGUAAAGCUCUGUUGUAAGUCAAGAACGGGUGUGAGAGUGGAAAGUUCACACUGUGACGGUAGCUUACCAGAAAGGGACGGCUAACUACGUGCCAGCAGCCGCGGUAAUACGUAGGUCCCGAGCGUUGUCCGGAUUUAUUGGGCGUAAAGCGAGCGCAGGCGGUUUGAUAAGUCUGAAGUUAAAGGCUGUGGCUCAACCAUAGUUCGCUUUGGAAACUGUCAAACUUGAGUGCAGAAGGGGAGAGUGGAAUUCCAUGUGUAGCGGUGAAAUGCGUAGAUAUAUGGAGGAACACCGGUGGCGAAAGCGGCUCUCUGGUCUGUAACUGACGCUGAGGCUCGAAAGCGUGGGGAGCGAACAGGAUUAGAUACCCUGGUAGUCCACGCCGUAAACGAUGAGUGCUAGGUGUUGGAUCCUUUCCGGGAUUCAGUGCCGCAGCUAACGCAUUAAGCACUCCGCCUGGGGAGUACGACCGCAAGGUUGAAACUCAAAGGAAUUGACGGGGGCCCGCACAAGCGGUGGAGCAUGUGGUUUAAUUCGAAGCAACGCGAAGAACCUUACCAGGUCUUGACAUCCCGAUGCUAUUUCUAGAGAUAGAAAGUUACUUCGGUACAUCGGUGACAGGUGGUGCAUGGUUGUCGUCAGCUCGUGUCGUGAGAUGUUGGGUUAAGUCCCGCAACGAGCGCAACCCCUAUUGUUAGUUGCCAUCAUUCAGUUGGGCACUCUAGCGAGACUGCCGGUAAUAAACCGGAGGAAGGUGGGGAUGACGUCAAAUCAUCAUGCCCCUUAUGACCUGGGCUACACACGUGCUACAAUGGUUGGUACAACGAGUUGCGAGUCGGUGACGGCGAGCUAAUCUCUUAAAGCCAAUCUCAGUUCGGAUUGUAGGCUGCAACUCGCCUACAUGAAGUCGGAAUCGCUAGUAAUCGCGGAUCAGCACGCCGCGGUGAAUACGUUCCCGGGCCUUGUACACACCGCCCGUCACACCACGAGAGUUUGAAACACCCGAAGUCGGUGAGGUAACCUUUUGGAGCCAGCCGCCUAAGGUGGGACAGAUGAUUGGGGUGAAGUCGUAACAAGGUA
rnacentral:rRNA from 1 species